UACGUAGGGUGCGAGCGUUAAUCGGAUUUACUGGGCGUAAAGGGCGCGUAGGCGGCCGUGCAAGUCUGGUGUGAAAGCCCAGGGCUUAACCCUGGAAGUGCACUGGAAACUGCACGGCUUGAGGACGGUAGAGGGAGACGGAACUGCUGGUGUAGGGGUGAAAUGCGUAGAUAUCGGGAGGAACACCAGAGGCGAAGGCGGCCACCUGGGCCAAGACUGACGCUGAGGUGCGAAAGCGUGGGGAGCAAACAGG
rnacentral:rRNA from 1 species